rnacentral:rRNA from 1 species
GACGAACGCUGGCGGCGUGCCUAAUACAUGCAAGUAGAACGCUUAAGGAGGGCCUUGCUUCUCUGGAUGAGUUGCGAACGGGUGAGUAACGCGUAGGUAACCUGCCUGGUAGCGGGGGAUAACUAUUGGAAACGAUAGCUAAUACCGCAUAAUAGCAGUUGUUGCAUGACAACUGUUUGAAAGGUGCAAAUGCAUCACUACCAGAUGGACCUGCGUUGUAUUAGCUAGUUGGUGGGGUAAAGGCUCACCAAGGCGACGAUACAUAGCCGACCUGAGAGGGGGAUCGGCCAGACUGGGACUGAGACACGGCCCAGACGCCUACAGGAGGGAGCAGUAGGGAAACUGCGGGAAGAGGCGGAAGUCAGAGCGAACAACGCCGCGGGAGUGAAGAAGGUUGUCGGAUCGGAAAGCACGGUUGUAAGAGAAGAAAGAGUGUGAGAGUGGAAAGUUCACACUGUGACGGUAUCUGAACAGAAAGGGACGGCUAACUACGUG